rnacentral:rRNA from 1 species
AACGAACGCUGGCGGCAUGCCUAACACAUGCAAGUCGAACGAGACCUUCGGGUCUAGUGGCGCACGGGUGCGUAACGCGUGGGAACCUGCCCUUAGGUUCGGAAUAACUCCCCGAAAGGGGUGCUAAUACCGGAUAAUGUCUUCGGACCAAAGAUUUAUCGCCUUUGGAUGGGCCCGCGUUGGAUUAGCUAGUUGGUAGGGUAAAAGCCUACCAAGGCGACGAUCCAUAGCUGGUCUGAGAGGAUGAUCAGCCACACUGGGACUGAGACACGGCCCAGACUCCUACGGGAGGCAGCAGUGGGGAAUAUUGGACAAUGGGCGAAAGCCUGAUCCAGCAAUGCCGCGUGAGUGAUGAAGGCAUUAGGGUUGUAAAGCUCUUUUAACCGGGAUGAUAAUGACAGUACCGGGAGAAUAAGCGCCGGCUAACUCCGUG